rnacentral:rRNA from 1 species
GACGAACGCUGGCGGCGUGCUUAACACAUGCAAGUCGAACGGAGUGGCGAACGGGUGAGUAACGCGUAAUCAACCUGCCCUUCAGACGGGGACAACAGUUGGAAACGACUGCUAAUACCGCAUACUGAAGGAGGGGCUUGCGUCUGCUUGGCUAGUUGGGGGGGUAACGGCCCACCAAGGCGAUGAUCAGUAGCCGGUCUGAGGGGGUGGACGGCCACCUUGGGACUGAGACACGGCCCAGACUCCUACGGGAGGCAGCAGUUGGGAAUCUUCCGCGAUGGAGGGAUGUCUGACGGAGAAACGCCGCGUGAGUGAUGACGGCCUUCGGGUGGUAAAGCUCUGUUAAUCGGGACGCGGUACCGAAAUAGAAAGCCACGGCUAACUACGUGCCAGCAGCCGCGGUAAUAC